GGCGAUGCAAGCGGUCUACCACCUAUGACAUCGCGAGAAGUCCACUGAACCUUAUCAUUUAGAGGAAGGAGAAGUCAUAACAAGGUUUCCAUAGGUGAACCUGCAGAAGGAUAAUUG
rnacentral:rRNA from 1 species